GGGUGCAUAGCGCAGUGGAUUAGCGCGUCUGACUUCGAAUCAGAAGGUUGUGGUGGGUUCGACUCCCACUGUGGUCG